rnacentral:rRNA from 1 species
AAAGGAAUAGACGGGAACUCGCACAAGCGGUGGAGCAUGCGGUUUAAUUCGAUGCAACGCGAAGAACCUUACCAGGUCUUGACAUCCCACUGACCGGUCUAGAGAUAGAUCUUUCCUUCGGGACAGUGGUGACAGGUGGUGCAUGGUUGUCGUCAGCUCGUGUCGUGAGAUGUUGGGUUAAGUCCCGCAACGAGCGCAACCCUUAUCAUUAGUUGCUAACAUUAAGUUGAGGACUCUAAUGAGACCGCCGAUGAUAAAUCGGAUGAAGGUGGGGAUGACGUCAAAUCAUCAUGCCCCUUAUGACCUGGGCUACACGCGUGCUACAAUGGCUAGUACAAAGAGCUGCGAAGUCGCGAGAUGGAGCAAAUCUCAUAAAGCUAGUCUCAGUUCGGAUUGUAGUCUGCAACUCGACUACAUGAAGUUGGAAUCGCUAGUAAUCGCGAAUCAGAAUGUCGCGGUGAAUACGUUCUCGAGUUUUGUACACACCGCCCGU